GACAUCUUGGCCGAGUGGUUAAGGCGACAGACUUGAAUUAUUAUCCCCUUGCGGAUUUUACGGUUCUGAUAUCUGUUGGGUUCGCCCGCGUAGGUUCAAAUCCUGCAGAUGUCG